rnacentral:lncRNA from 1 species
UGCUUCCCUUCAACACAGGCAAGGGAAAAGGAUUGUUUAGCACGGAUUGACUGCUGGACCAGGAGUCAAGACAACUAUGUAAUCAUUCCAACUCUAUCAUAUGCUAACUCUGUCAUUUAACUCCCCUGGGUCGGUUUUCCUAUCUACUGAAGCAGAUCUGAGAGUCAGCCUGAUAUGGUAUUAAGAAGACUAGAUUUGGAAUCCAAGGAACUAGAUUCAAAUUCCAGCUCUGACUGUUAGUUACACCCAUUCUGACCACUGGGCAUGCUGUAGCUUCUUGGAGCCACAUGUGAAGACAGAAUAAAAAACAGUUAUCAGAGGUGGAUGAACA